rnacentral:lncRNA from 1 species
CUUAAACUGCAAGCACUGGUCUUGAUAUUUCAGAGGUAGGGUUCAUCCACCAAACGCAAAAGAAUAGAUCUCCCAUGCCAAAGCUAAACCAAGAAAUCCGCCUCCAUCAACAACACAGAAAGCAAAAGACUAAAUCCUCAGCUCCAACACCCGAAGCCAUGGAAGGGAAGCAACAUGGCCAUGGUGUUGUAGUAUUUAAUCUUAUUGCUGGUUGUUGGUUUGUUUACU